rnacentral:rRNA from 1 species
CCUACGGGAGGCAGCAGUGGGGAAUAUUGGACAAUGGGCGGAAGCCUGAUCCAGCAACGCCGCGUGAGGGAUGACGGCCUUCGGGUUGUAAACCUCUUUCAGUAGGGACGAAGCGAAAGUGACGGUACCUACAGAAGAAGCACCGGCCAACUACGUGCCAGCAGCCGCGGUAAUACGUAGGGUGCGAGCGUUGUCCGGAAUUAUUGGGCGUAAAGGGCUCGUAGGCGGUUUGUCGCGUCGGGAGUGAAAACCCAGGGCUUAACCCUGGGCUGGCUUUCGAUACGGGCAGACUAGAGGUAUGCAGGGGAGAACGGAAUUCCUGGUGUAGCGGUGAAAUGCGCAGAUAUCAGGAGGAACACCGGUGGCGAAGGCGGUUCUCUGGGCAUUACCUGACGCUGAGGAGCGGAAGUGUGGGGAGCGAACAGGAUUAGAUACCCUGGUAGUCCACACCGUAAACGUUGGGCGCUAGGUGUGGGGUCCAUUCCACGGAUUCCGUGCCGCAGCUAACGCAUUAAGCGCCCCGCCUGGGGAGUACGGCCGCAAGGCUAAAACUCAAAUGAAUUGACGG